rnacentral:lncRNA from 1 species
GUAAAACAAAAUUAAUAUUAAUUAUCUUACAAAAUUAAUUUUGUAGAAACACUAAAUAGCAGAAUGUUAAAAUUGAUAACAGCGUGAGCUUUAUUUGUAGAUACAUAACCCUUGUUUCAUAUUUCAUCAGUGAUUCUAAUCUAUGACUUGAGGAUAGUAACUUUCUUCCUGCAGAUAUCAGACAUCAGAAAAAUGGGAGUAAUAAAAAUAUUUAGUGAGUUUUGUGAAGAUUAGGUAAAAUAAACCAUAGAUAGUUCAAUCUGAUGUUCUUACCUUCUCUUUAUGGACUUUUGACAUUUAUGAUCUGAAACUUUCUUUAAUAGCAUUGUUAGUAUUUUGGUGGCUGAGUUGAGGACAUAUUUUAUAGAAAUUAAUUUAAGAUAGGAAACAUAUCUCUGUUUGCCUAAUACAAAAGGGCCAAAUAAGCUCUAAGCAACUCAGUUUUGAUAAGGAAAAUUGAGAAUGUGGGAGGUGUUAUUCUCCACAUAAAAAUUUUUAACUGAGAGAAAGAAAAUCCUAAGAUCAUACAUUAAAAAAGAGAGAGAGAAAAUAAAAUCAAAAUCCCAAAAGCAAUUUCCUUUUCCAAUGAAGUUUAGAUUAUUUGCUAAUGGAACUAUUCCUUUUUCAGUCAAGAAGCAAAUAUGAUUGUUUCUUUAGAAAUGCUGUCUUUCUUAAAACACUCUUGCUUACCAUAAAGAAUAAUGCCAUUAUAAUGUAUACAUUUAUGAAUUUUUUAUUGACUUCCUAACAUACAUUAUUGCUUGCUCUAGUAACCAGGGAUUUGUAAUAUCUCAGUAUAAAAAAUGAAGGAAACAAAACAAAGCAAGAAAUGUUAUAUGUGCCCAUUAUUAAUCUUCUAAUAGCAUUAAUAUCUUAACAUUCUUAGUACCCUUUGCAUUCCAGUGUUCAGAUGCUUAUGUGAUCAGGUUGGUUUCAUUGUUUGCUUUCUCUCUCUCUCUUUAUUUUGAAGCUGUAUGUGUCUACAUUGCCCAGGUUCAUCUCAAAUUUCUAGCCUCAAGCAAUCAUCUCACCUCAGACACCUACAGGCAAACAUCAUCCUACUUGGCUGAUUUCAUUGUUUAUUUCCUUCUUGACAAGCAAAAACUUUUAGAAAUUUGAACAAAGAACUUAUGCUUUCUUGCCAAACUGUUGGCAUAAGUAAGUCAUUAUAAGCUAAUUUGAAG